rnacentral:rRNA from 1 species
AUUGAACGCUGGCGGCAGGCCUAACACAUGCAAGUCGAACGAGUGGCGGACGGGUGAGUAAUCUCUGGGAAACUGCCCGAUGGACGGCGAUAACUACUGGGAACGGUAGCUAAUACCGCAUACCAUCUGACGCGCCCCGAUGCGAUUGGCUAGUAGGUGGGGUAACGGCUCACCUAGGCGACGAUCCCUAGCGGGUCUCAGAGGCUGACCAGCAGAACUGGAACUGAGACACGGUCCAGACUCCUACGGUGGCCAGCAGUGGGGACUAUUGCACAAUAGGCGCAAGCCUGAUGCAGCCAUGCCGCGUGUAUGAAGAAGGCCUUCGGGUUGUAAAGUACUUUCAGCGAGGAGGCGUUACUCGCAGAAGAAGCACCGGCUAACUCCGUGCCAGCAGCCGCGGUAAUUC